AUUGAACGCUGGCGGCAUGCUUUACACAUGCAAGUCGAACGGCAGCGCGGGCUUCGGCCUGGCGGCGAGUGGCGAACGGGUGAGUAAUGCAUCGGAACGUGCCCAGUAGUGGGGGAUAGCCCGGCGAAAGCCGGAUUAAUACCGCAUACGACCUGAGGGUGAAAGCGGGGGACCGAAAGGCCUCGCGCUAUUGGAGCGGCCGAUGUCGGAUUAGCUAGUUGGUGGGGUAAAGGCUUACCAAGGCGACGAUCCGUAGCUGGUCUGAGAGGAAGACCAGCCACACUGGGACUGAGAACCGGCCCAGACUCCUAAGGGAGGCCGGAGUGGGGAAUUUUGGACAAUGGGGGGAACCCUGGUCCAGCCAUGCCGCGUGCGGGAAGAAGGCCUUCGGGUUGUAAACCGCUUUUGUUCGGGAAGAAAACCUCUGGGCUAAUACCCCGGGGGGAUGACGGUACCGGAAGAAUAAGCACCGGCUAACUACGUG
rnacentral:rRNA from 1 species